UACGUAGGGGGCCAGCGUUGUCCGGAAUCAUUGGGCGUAAAGCGCGCGUAGGCGGCCAGAUAAGUCCGGUGUGAAAGUCAAAGGCUCAACCUUUGAAUGCCGCUGGAAACUGUCUGGCUUGAGUCCGGGAGGGGCGAGUGGAACUGCGAGUGUAGAGGUGAAAUUCGUAGAUAUUCGCAAGAACACCAGUGGCGAAGGCGGCUCACUGGCCCGGUACUGACGCUGAGGUGCGAAAGCGUGGGGAGCAAACAGG
rnacentral:rRNA from 1 species